rnacentral:rRNA from 1 species
GACGAACGCUGGCGGCGUGCUUAACACAUGCAAGUCGAACGGUGAAGCGCCUUCCUUUUUGGUGGGUGUGGAUGAGUGGCGAACGGGUGAGUAACACGUGAGUAACCUGCCCCCUUCUUCUGGAUAACCGCAUGAAAGUGUGGCUAAUACGGGAUAUUCUGGGUCUGUCGCAUGAUGGGUCUGGGAAAGAUAUUGUUUCGGUGGGGGAUGGGCUCGCGGCCUAGCAGCUUGUUGGUGGGGUGAUGGCCUACCAAGGCGGUGACGGGUAGCCGGCCUGAGAGGGUGGACGGUCACACAGGGACUGAGACACGGCCCAGACUCCUACGGGAGGCAGCAGUGGGGAAUAUUGCACAAUGGGCGCAAGCCUGAUGCAGCGACGCCGCGGGAGGGAUGGAGGCCUUCGGGUUGUGAACCUCUUUCGCCAGUGAAGCAGGCCUGCCUCGUUUGUGGGUGGGUUGACGGUAGCUGGAUAAGAAGCGCCGGCUAACUACGUG